rnacentral:rRNA from 1 species
UACGUAGGGGGCAAGCGUUGUCCGGAAUCAUUGGGCGUAAAGAGCGUGUAGGCGGCCAGAAAAGUCCGCUGUGAAAACUCGAGGCUCAACUUCGAGCUGUCGGUGGAAACUUUCUGGCUAGAGUCCGGAAGAGGAGAAUGGAAUUCCUGGUGUAGCGGUGAAAUGCGUAGAUAUUGGGAGGAACACCGGUGGCGAAGGCGGCCACCUGGACGGUAACUGACGCUGAGACGCGAAAGCGUGGGGAGCAAACAGG